CUUUGCGCUCUCGGCGUCCCCCUCCACGCCCAGGAGCGAGGGAACCUUGCGUAAGGGCUUUACUAGGGAAAACGGUGCUGGUUCACUGGGGCGCGUUUCCGGGAAGGUGAAUACCGGUGAAAGUUAUGCUGAGGGUGAGUAAACUCAAAAACUGACACUUGAUUCAGCUAUUGGAAAGUUUUUUUAAUGUGGUUGGAACAACUGAGGGCACACUGAUGCAAGAUGUGGAGCAGCUUGGACAGCUCCACUCCUGUGGCUUUGCAGGAACUUGGCAGGAUGAAGACAAAGUGUGUGAAAGGAGAGACGGGGUUUCACCAUGUUGGCCAGGAUGGUCUCAAACUCCUGACCUCAGGCGAUCUGCCUGCCUCGGCCUCCCAAACUGCUGGAAUUACAGAGGUCUUAAAAAUAAAUAUGAAUUUAGAUUCCAUACAUCGAUUAAUUGAGGAAACACAGAUCUUCCAGAUGCAACAAUCAUCAAUUAAGUCACGCGGCGACAUGGUGGCACCUGCCUCACCCCCCAGGGAUACCUGUAAUACCUGCUUCCCACUUCAUGGGCUACAAUCUCAUGCUGCUCACAAUUUCUGUGCUCACUCAUAUAACACCAACGAAUGGGAUAUUUGUGAAGAACUUCGCUUGCGGGAGCUUGAAGAAGUCAAGGCCAGAGCUGCUCAGAUGGAAAAGACCAUGCGGUGGUGGUCGGACUGCACUGCCAACUGGAGAGAAAAAUGGAGUAAAGUUCGAGCUGAAAGGAACAGUGCCAGGGAGGAAGGAAGACAACUCAGAAUAAAACUAGAGAUGGCGAUGAAAGAAUUGAGUACACUGAAAAAGAAACAGAGUUUGCCACCUCAGAAGGAGGCAUUAGAAGCUAAAGUUACCCAGGAUCUGAAGCUUCCUGGCUUCGUAGAAGAAUCCUGUGAACAUACAGACCAAUUUCAAUUGAGUUCACAAAUGCAUGAGUCUAUCAGAGAGUAUUUGGUAAAAAGACAAUUUUCUACAAAGGAGGACACAAAUAAUAAGGAACAAGGUGUGGUUAUUGAUUCUUUAAAAUUAAGUGAGGAGAUGAAGCCCAAUCUAGAUGGUGUUGAUUUAUUCAACAAUGGUGGUUCUGGAAACGGUGAAACGAAAACUGGGCUGAGACUGAAAGCAAUAAAUCUGCCUUUGGAAAAUGAAGUAACUGAAAUUUCAGCUUUGCAGGUGCAUUUGGAUGAAUUCCAAAAAAUCUUAUGGAAGGAAAGAGAAAUGCGCACAGCUUUGGAAGAAGAAAUAGAGAGACUGGAGUCGGCUUUGUCUCUGUGGAAGUGGAAGUAUGAGGAACUGAAAGAAUCAAAGCCAAAACAUGUGAAAGAGUUUGACAUUCUUCUUGGUCAACAUAAUGAUGAAAUUGAAGAACUGUCAGGCAAUAUAAAGGAAGAAUCCAAAUCUCAAAACAGCAAAGACAGAGUGAUUUGUGAGUUAAGAGCAGAGCUAGAGAGAUUGCAAGCUGAAAAUACCUCGGAGUGGGACAAGAGGGAAAUACUUGAAACAGAAAAGCAGGGACUGGAGAGAGAAAAUAGACGGCUGAAGAUCCAGGUGAAAGAAAUGGAAGAGCUCUUGGAUAAGAAAAAUAGAUUAAGUGCAAACUCUCAAAGUCCUGAUUUCAAGAUGUCACAAAUUGAUCUGCAAGAAAAAAACCAGGAUGUAAAAUAAUGUUCAUGCAUCUGAAACAAAGUGUGUCAAAUGUUAAAAUAUGACAAAUCUUCAGAAAGUUUCAAGAUUUCCAAAAGAAAGAAGAAAAAUGAAGAAUUACUGAACCUUCAACAUGCCUACUAUAAACUAAGCAGACAAUACCAGGCAAAUAUUGCAGAACUGACUCAUGCAAACAACCGAGUGGAUCAAAAUGAGGCAGAAGUAAAGAAACUAAGAUUACGAGUGGAAGAACUAAAGCAGGGACUCAACCGAAAAGAAGAUGAGCUUGAUGAUUCCCUGAAUCAGAUCCGUAAGCUCCAGAGGUCUCUGGAUGAAGAGAAAGAAAGAAAUGAAAACUUAGAGACUGAACUCAGGCACUUGCAAAACUGGUAAUUUUUUCACAAAAUAUGCUGAAUUAAAGAUUAGGGCCUUAAAGACAUUUCCAUAUCCUUUUCUUAAAUAUCAGUAAAAUUGUUUUUAUUAACUAGAAAUAUUAAUGAAAAAACUUAGACAAUAUACAAAUUAAUGGGCUUCUUCACUUCUUCUAAUUUUUGCCUAACAGAUACUGCAUAUUCUCAAAAAGACAGUUUAAAUGUCAUUUAAAAACAAGUUUAAUUCUAAGAUGUGUAAAUAUUUUGAAAGUCAAAAAGAGCUUUCAGAAUACUUUUUACAUAAAAUCUGAAAGAGUUAUAAUAUCGGUAAGAAAAAGUAAGUUGAAAACCAUACAAGACGCUGGGUCAUUAAUAAGAAAACCAUUGACUUUAAGUAUAAAGUACUGGUUUGUUUAAGUAAUUGGUAAACUUUUAUGUAUGUGUUGUCUAUGUGGUGGGGAUGGCAGAUUGUAUUAACAAAAAUGAAUCAUUCUAGAGGUGUAACAAUAUAUUUCUUAUAUAAUUUUAUAAGUCAUUUCUAAUUCUUUGUAUAAAACGGAAGUGAGCAGAUGAAUCAGAAAAAAGUGUUUUGUAUUUUAAAGUAACAGAUAACCGGUGAUUGAGUCUAAGACAGGCUGUAAGCAUCGCUGAGAAACUAAAAGGACUUUUGACUUUUAUCUGGAUAGACAUUUCUACCGUAAAAUCAUGGAAAGGCAUCAGCAUUGCAAAGUAGUAUCUAGGUAGAAAUCAGGCCAAAAUUAAGCUGUCGUUUCCCUUUGAGUAGUGGGAAUAGAGAAAAUUAGGAAAUUGUGGUUAUGUGAAUAUUUCUUUAAAACUUUUAUAUACAUUAUAGUUUAUUGCUUCCUAUUUAAGUUUGGUUUUUAAGGUAAAAUGUUAUUUUGAACAAAAAGACACUUAUAAUUUUCCAUACCUAUUUUCAACUGAAGGCAACUUGUAAGAUUUAACUCAGUCAAUAACAUACUGGUUUUACUCAUCUCCCCCCUCCACUGAUUAGUCAAAAAAAAAUGAAAUCUUACUAAUUCAUUACUGAAUAAAGACCACUUUUAUCAGAGUC